rnacentral:rRNA from 1 species
AGUGAACGCUGGCGGCAGGCCUAACACAUGCAAGUCGAACGGCAGCACAGGGGUAGCAAUACCCUGGGUGGCGAGUGGCGGACGGGUGAGGAAUACGUCGGAAUCUGCCUAUUUGUGGGGGAUAACGUAGGGAAACUUACGCUAAUACCGCAUACGACCUACGGGUGAAAGCGGAGGACCUUCGGGCUUCGCGCAGAUAGAUGAGCCGACGUCGGAUUAGCUAGUUGGCGGGGUAAAGGCCCACCAAGGCGACGAUCCGUAGCUGGUCUGAGAGGAUGAUCAGCCACACUGGAACUGAGACACGGUCCAGACUCCUACGGGAGG